rnacentral:misc_RNA from 1 species
GAAAUGCGAUAAGUAGUGUGAAUUGCAGAAUUCAGUGAAUCAUCGAAUCUUUGAACGCACAUUGCGCCUCCUGGCAUUCCGGGAGGCAUGCCUGUUCGAGCGUCAUUAAAUCUUUCAAGCUUAGGUUUGCCUAUUGCUUGGUCUUGAAGAUGGAAGCUAAGUACUUAGGAUCCUCUUCGAAAUCCAAUGGCGAAGACCCUUGCUCUCCCAAGUGUAGUAAUAACUUAUUCACCGAAGGAAGCGAGUAAUCUUCCGCCGUAACCCCCAUAUUUUCUAUGAUUGACCUCGGAUCAGGUAGGGAUACCCGCUGAACUUAA